GAAGGGUGCAAGCGUUACUAGGAAUUACUGGGCGUAAAGCGUGCGUAGGCGGUUCGUUAAGUCCGAUGUGAAAGCCCUGGGCUCAACCUGGGAACUGCAUUGGAAACUGGCGGGCUGGAGUGCGGUAGAGGGUGGCGGAAUUCCCGGUGUAGCAGUGAAAUGCGUAGAUAUCGGGAGGAACAUCCGUGGCGAAGGCGGCCACCUGGACCAGCACUGACGCUGAGGCACGAAAGCGUGGGGAGCAAACAGGA
rnacentral:misc_RNA from 1 species